AGGGUAAUGGUUGGAAAGUUGUUGCCAGUUUUGAAGGCAAUUUUCCCAACAGGAUUAAACAGCUUCCUAUAGACAGACACUUUGACAUAAACAAUGUUAAAAGGAUUGUCCUAGAAGCAGAUGGAUAUCAACCUUAUCUUAUUUCUCC